rnacentral:rRNA from 1 species
GACAGAGGAGCCAAGCGUUGUCCGGAUUGACUGGGCGUAAAGCGCACGCAGGCGGCCCGGCGCGUGGGGUGUGAAAGCUGGCGGCUUAACUGCCAGACGCCAUCCCAUACGGCUGGGCUCGAGCCCUGCAGAGGUCCAUGGAAUUGCCGGUGUAGUGGUGAAAUGCGUAGAGAUCGGCAGGAACACCCAGGGGGAAACCAGUGGACUGGGCAGGAGCUGACGCUCAGGUGCGAAAGCAUGGGGGGCGAACAGG